UAUUGGUCAAUGGACGCAAGUCUGAACCAGCCAUGCCGCGUGAAGGAUGAAGGUCCUCUGGAUUGUAAACUUCUUUUCUAAGAGGCCUGACGGUACCAGAUGAAUAAGCACCGGCUAACUCCGUGCCAGCAGCCGCGGUAAUACGGAGGGUGCGAGCGUUAUCCGGAUUUACUGGGUUUAAAGGGUGCGUAGGUGGGCUUAUAAGUCAGUGGUGAAAUCUCCGAGCUUAACUUGGAAACUGCCGUUGAUACUAUAGGUCUUGAAUUAUCUGUAUNUAAGCGGAAUAUGUCAUGUAGCGGUGAAAUGCUUAGAUAUGACAUAGAACACCAAUUGCGAAGGCAGCUUACUACAUAUAAAUUGACGCUGAGGCACGAAAGC
rnacentral:rRNA from 1 species